UACGUAGGGGGCAAGCGUUAUCCGGAAUUAUUGGGCGUAAAGAGCUCGUAGGCGGUUUGUCGCGUCUGCCGUGAAAGUCCGGGGCUCAACUCCGGAUCUGCGGUGGGUACGGGCAGACUAGAGUGAUGUAGGGGAGACUGGAAUUCCUGGUGUAGCGGUGAAAUGCGCAGAUAUCAGGAGGAACACCGAUGGCGAAGGCGACUACCUGGCCUGUUCUUGACGCUGAGGCGCGAAAGCUAGGGGAGCAAACGGG
rnacentral:rRNA from 1 species